rnacentral:rRNA from 1 species
AUUGAACGCUGGCGGUAUGCUUAACACAUGCAAGUCGAACGGUAACAGGUCUUCGGAUGCUGACGAGUGGCGGACGGGUGAGUAACGCGUAGGAAUCUGCCUUAUAGUGGGGGACAACUUGUGGAAACGCAAGCUAAUACCGCAUACGCCCUACGGGGGAAAGGAGGGGAUCUGCGGACCUUUCGCUAUGAGAUGAGCCUGAGUUAGAUUAGCUAGUUGGGGGGGUAAAGGCCUACCAAGGCGACGAUCUAUAGCUGUUCUGAGAGGAAGAUCAGCCACACUGGGACUGAGACACGGCCCAGACUCCUACGGGAGGCAGCAGUGGGGAAUAUUGGACAAUGGGCGAAAGCCUGAUCCAGCAAUACCGCGUGUGUGAAGAAGGCCUUAGGGUUGUAAAGCACUUUCAAUUGGGAGGAAAAAAAUUAAGCUAAUACCUUAAUUCUUGACAUUACCUUUAGAAGAAGCACCGGCUAACUCCGUGCCAGCAGCCGCGGUAACAC